GGCGGGAGGUGCAGGAGGGACCCUCGCCAUGGGUCCACGGGCCUAGAGUGGCGGAAGAUACCGGCCUGGUGCCAAACUGGCUACUGCUGCUUCCUGUGGCCUCCAUGGCUGAGGACUGGCUGGACUGCCCGGCCCUGGGCCCUGGCUGGAAGCGCCGCGAAGUCUUUCGCAAGUCAGGGGCCACCUGUGGACGCUCAGACACCUAUUACCAGAGGUACUGGCCCCACAGGAGACAGGAUCCGAAGCAAAGUUGAGCUGACUCGAUACCUGGGCCCUGCGUGUGAUCUCACCCUCUUCGACUUCAAACAAGGCAUCUUGUGCUAUCCAGCCCCCAAGGCCCAUCCCGUGGCGGUUGCCAGCAAGAAGCGAAAGAAGCCUUCAAGGCCAGCCAAGACUCGGAAACGUCAGGUUGGACCCCAGAGUGGUGAGGUCAGGAAGGAGGCCCCGAGGGAUGAGACCAAGGCUGACACUGACACAGCCCCAGCUUCAUUCCCUGCUCCUGGGUGAGUGUUGGUCUAAGGUGAGCCAGAUGGGUGAGGGUUGUGAUUGGGGGUGCUCUUGGAGCCCCACACCUGCCUUUCCCAUCCCAGGUGCUGUGAGAACUGUGGAAUCAGCUUCUCAGGGGAUGGCACCCAAAGGCAGCGGCUCAAAACGUUGUGCAAAGACUGUCGAGCA
rnacentral:lncRNA from 1 species